rnacentral:rRNA from 1 species
GGCCGCAAGGCUGACGCAGCAACGCCGCGUGGGUGAUGAAGGCCUUCGGGUCGUAAAGCCCUGUCAGGUGGGAAGAACGAUUGGGGGUCGAAUAGGCCUUUGAUGUGACGGUACCACCAGAGGAAGCACCGGCUAACUCCGUGCCAGCAGCCGCGGUAAUACGGAGGGUGCGAGCGUUAUUCGGAAUUACUGGGCGUAAAGCGCGUGUAGGCGGCCUGGCAAGUCUGAUGUGAAAGCCCCGGGCUUAACCUGGGAAGUGCAUUGGAAACUGUCGGGCUUGAGUACUGGAGAGGAUGGGGGAAUUCCCGGUGUAGAGGUGAAAUUCGUAGAGAUCGGGAGGAAUAUCAGUGGCGAAGGCGCCCAUCUGGACGGUAACUGACGCUGAGACGCGAAAGCGUGGGGAGCAAACAGGAUUAGAUACCCUGGUAGUCCACGCUGUAAACGAUGAGCACUGGGUGUAGCGGGUACUCAUUCCUGCUGUGCCGCAGCUAACGCGUUAAGUGCUCCGCCUGGGGAUUACGGUCGCAAGACUAAAACUCA